GCCGCCGGUGCUGGUGUGAGAAGUUCAUUAAACCUUAUCAUUUAGAGGAAGGAGAAGUCGUAACAAGGUUUCCGUAGGUGAACCUGCGGAAGGAUCAUUGAACACACGAUCUGGAAAAAACUUUGCGAACCGUUCGUACCUAGACGUGCUGGGAGGCACGGUCGUUGGGGGCCAGAGUCAAGGUCAAUGUGCGUCAGCCUGAUCCUCUGUUGGUGCGUGUGGGUUGAUAACUCGGUUCCCAUCGGAGAACCCCCGGCACGCGGGGGUCCGUGUGUUCCUCCACAGCAGGGCGGCCAGGGAGAGAGGAGCCGGGGAGCCGAUCGGACUCGGGAUGACUCUUGUCGUCCCGAGGCGGGCGAGGACGCGGCGCAUCUCACACGUCCUUGGCGGCUCUAUUGGGGGAGCCGAGAUCCGGAGUGUUUUCCCCUCCUCCGCGGGAGGGGAGACCAGAUUCUCCGGGGGGGACCCUCCAUGAGGAGGGCUCCCCCAUCGGAGUUCCCUCCUUUCCCGCGGGGCCCUUUUUUUUUUUCUUCCCACAAGGAACCUGACAAAACCCUGAGUUGAUGGAUUGAGGAGGACGAGGGCCGUCCGCUGGUGCGGGCUCCAUCCUUGGGGGGGGAGUCCGCCUGGAUGGUCCGGAGUUCACCGAGGAAAAACACAAUGACUCUCAGAACGGAUAUCUUGGCUCUUGCAACGAUGAAGAACGCAGCGAAAUGCGAUACCUAGUGUGAAUUGCAGAAUUCCGCGAAUCAUCGAGUCUUUGAACGCAAGUUGCGCCCGAGGCUUGUUCCAAGGGCAUGCCUGCCUGAGCGUCCGCUCCGACCCACCCACCGGCCUCCUGCCUCCUCCCGCGAGGGGUAGAGGCGGGGGGCGAUUCAAGUGGAGUGGAAAUGGUCGUCCGAGAGACCCGCCCGGCUCCCCUACGGGGUCCGAAGGGCGAGGGAUUCGCGGUCGGCUGAAAGACAAGGGCCGUCUGCGAAGCGCGCGCUGGGUCCGUGGUGCGACGCGAGAAGGUGCCGUCCGGCUCCCGCCCGCAUAGAGACGGGAGCCGAGCGUUCAUAGAGAAAGCGUCGCAUCGCCCCCGCGCAGUCGAGACUUGGCGGAUUGGCCGGGAAAGGACAUGGGAACGGGAGUGGUCCCGCUGGGCGCUUCUGGCAGCCCCGAGAUCCCUUUGCCUCGGGCGCGGUUUCUCGGGGAGCAGAUGUGCGGGCGGGCCCACCCUCGUUACGUUGCUGGGACCUCAGAUCAGGCAAGACCACCCGCUGAGUUUAA
rnacentral:rRNA from 1 species